rnacentral:rRNA from 1 species
CAUAGCGACUAUCGUGGCAUAUCAAUAAGCGGAGGAAAAGAAACUAACAAGGAUUCCCUUAGUAACGGCGAGUGAAGCGGGAAGAGCUCAAAUUUGAAAUCUUCAAGGUUCUACCUUGACGAAUUGUAGUUUAUAGAAGUGUUUUCUGUUAGUAGAGUGGCAAAAGUUCUUUGGAAUAGGACAUCAUAGAGGGUGAGAAUCCCGUAUUUGGUCAUUCCUCCUAGCUUUGUGAUACACUUUCAACGAGUCGGAUUGUUUGGGAAUGCAGUCCAAAAUGGGUGGUAAAUUUCAUCUAAAGCUAAAUAUUGGCGAGAGACCGAUAGCGAACAAGUACCGUGAGGGAAAGAUGAAAGAACUUUGAAAAGAGAGUUAAACAGUACGUGAAAUUGUCAAAAGGGAAGCGUUUGACACCAGUGUUGUUUUCUCGAAAAUCAAUUAAAAAUGAUGGGAUUUUGUGUUGUAUUGACUUUAUCAGCUUUCUGCACUUUUUUCCUGUCUUUUUUAAUGCACUUUUCGUUUAACAAGUCAACAUCAAUUUCUUUUGUUGUAAAAGAGUCAUUGGAAGGUGGCUUUCUUUUCGGAGAAAGUGUUUAUAGCCUUUGACUUCUGCAAUCGGAGAGGUUGAGGUCUGCAGCGUAGAUCCUUCGGGGUUAGAUACAUUUGUGCUAAGUUAUAGUUUUUCAUAGACAACAUGUUGACUAUGAUUAAAUCAUGUAGCUUACUCGCUUAUGCUAUUUUACCUACGCUUAGGAUGUUGACGAGACUGUCGAUCUC